rnacentral:rRNA from 1 species
UACGUAGGGGGCAAGCGUUGUCCGGAAUCAUUGGGCGUAAAGGGCGUGUAGGCGGCCCGAUAAGUCCGCUGUGAAAGUCCAGGGCUCAACCCUGGGAUGCCGGUGGAUACUGUCGGGCUCGAGUCCGGAAGAGGCGAGUGGAAUUCCUGGUGUAGCGGUGAAAUGCGCAGAUAUCAGGAGGAACACCAAUGGCGAAGGCAGCUCGCUGGGACGUGACUGACGCUGAGACGCGAAAGCGUGGGGAGCAAACAGG